rnacentral:rRNA from 1 species
UACGAAGGUGGCAAGCGUUGUUCGGAUUUACUGGGCGUACAGGGAGCGUAGGCGGUUGGGUAAGCCCUUCGUGAAAUCUCCGGGCCUAACCCGGAAAGUGCGGAGGGGACUGCUCGGCUAGAGGAUGGGAGAGGAGCGCGGAAUUCCCGGUGUAGCGGUGAAAUGCGUAGAGAUCGGGAGGAAGGCCGGUGGCGAAGGCGGCGCUCUGGACCAGUUCUGACACUGAUGAGCGAAAGCCAGGGGAGCAAACAGG